GUGUCAGCCGCCGCGGUAAUACGGAGGGUGCAAGCGUUGUUCGGAAUUACUGGGCGUAAAGCGCGUGUAGGCGGUCGAGUAAGUCAGAUGUGAAAGCCUUCCGCUUAACGGAAGAAGUGCAUUUGAAACUACUCGGCUGGAGUACGGGAGAGGAGAGUGGAAUUCCCGGUGUAGAGGUGAAAUUCGUAGAUAUCGGGAGGAACACCAGUGGCGAAAGCGGCUCUCUGGUCCGAUACUGACGCUGAUACGCGAAAGCGUGGGGAGCAAACAGGAUUAGAAACCCUAGUAGUCC
rnacentral:rRNA from 1 species